rnacentral:rRNA from 1 species
AACAGGAUUAGAUACCCUGGUAGUCCACGCCGUAAACGAUGGAUACUAGCUGUCUGGCUCACAUUGGUGAGCUGGGUGGCCAAGCGAGAGUGAUAAGUAUCCCACCUGGGGAGUACGUUCGCAAGAAUGAAACUCAAAGGAAUUGACGGGGGCCCGCACAAGCGGUGGAGCAUGUGGUUUAAUUCGAUGAUACGCGAGGAACCUUACCAGGGCUUAAAUGUAGUCUGACAGGAUUGGAAACAGUCUUUUCUUCGGACAGAUUACAAGGUGCUGCAUGGUUGUCGUCAGCUCGUGCCGUGAGGUGUCAGGUUAAGUCCUAUAACGAGCGCAACCCCUGUUGUUAGUUGCCAGCGAGUCAAGUCGGGAACUCUAACAAGACUGCCGGUGCAAACCGUGAGGAAGGUGGGGAUGACGUCAAAUCAUCACGGCCCUUACGUCCUGGGCCACACACGUGCUACAAUGGCAGGUACAAUGGGCAGCCACUACGCAAGUAGGAGCGAAUCCACAAAACCUGUCUCAGUUCGGAUCGGGGUCUGCAACUCGACCCCGUGAAGCUGAAAUCGCUAGUAAUCGGAUAUCAGCCAUGAUCCGGUGAAUACGUUCCCGGGCCUUGUACACACCGCCCGUCAAGCCAUGGAAGCUGGAAGCACCUGAAGUCCGUCACCGCAAGGAGCGGCCUAGGGUGAAGCUGGUAACUGGGGCUAAGUCGUAACAAGGUAACC